CACUGGUUUUGGCAACGUUUUAGUUCAUAAACCAUGGCUACAAGCGUAAACUCUUGGAGUUUUGAAGGCACAGGAACCCAUUCGGUCAAUGAAAUGACAUGGUGACAACCGAGUUCCCGCUCUAUCCUGGCACGUCAACGUAGUGAGAGCAUCCAGUGUUGCCUCCUUCGUUCUACAGUACAGCUUGACUGCAGCCCAACGAGCUGAUCAGGGUAGCACUGUGGCUGUCUAACAGAUGGGCUGACCAUGCAGGAAGUCCCCAGAUGGAGGCACUGUUGACAUGAAGACAGUCAGACCUCAGAAGUAGAAACUGAAGGGACGAACGGGGAUUCGAACCCUGAAGCUCAGCGUUCCAAGCUUUGGACAAUACCUUUACGCCACCAUCAUGUUAGCGGUUGCGCGGCUGCAGAAAUGGCCUGAUGAUGAGACAAUCCAAGUAUAAGCGAAACAAAGACGAAGGGGGGUUCGAACCCCAAACCUCUGCGUCCGUAGGCAAAGACAAUACCGUUGCGCCACCUUCUCUUCUGUGAAUCGGCCGGCUCUUCUGUGGGUAGAAGAAGAUGACAACAGAAAUAUUUCCAAAAAAAAAAAAAAAAAAGCUGGAACCCCCCCGGCUGUGGCUGGCUCAAAUCUGCUGGGCGUGAUGCAAUGCAAUGGGCUUCGUGGAAUAGGGUACUCUGUCUUGCGCCACGAAACCCUUCAAGAAUUCCUGGGUGCUCAUCAGUGAACUUAUUCUCAGACCCAUCAGAAAUAAACAGGAAGAGCUCAGCUUUGAAUCACACAGAUCCAGAUUAGGUGCUCUCCUAAAAUGAACUCUAAGAAACUGUGGCAAAAUAUAAACUGACACCCUAACACAUUUUGGCUUCUUUAAAUAAAGCUGUUGAUUCAUUGAAGGAAUUCCUUUGCAUUUGUGAUUUAUAAUUAGAACAACAGGUGACUGACAAGUCCCGUUCAAACAGAUGACCUAAUUAAAGGUGUAAUGUUGUUGCAUCUUAUAGGUGUGCAUGAAAGUGAUUAGUUGGUUAUAUUUUUUAUGCCUUUGAAUGUUUUCUUUCACAAGGAUGAAAAAUGAGAUUCAAUCUAGCCAGUAAUGUACUAUGGAGAACACUCAUAUUCUGUUUUUAUAAACUGCAGUGGAUAUGUUUUGGGGACAGGGCUUGUAAAUGCAUUUUAUUUUCUUUUAAAUAAUGAAAUGAAAUUAAUUGUGUUUUGGAAUUUUAUUCUGCAAUUCCAUUUCAGUCUUGAAAGUUGUGCUGCCAUUGCUGAAUAAAAAUAAUGCACAAUAAGAACAGUGA